GGAGGGUCUCAGUGGUAGAGUACAUGCCUAGCAUGCACAAGGUCCUGGGUUCAAUCCCCAGUACCUCCA
rnacentral:tRNA from 1 species